rnacentral:rRNA from 1 species
UACGGGGGGGGUAAGCGUUGUUCGGAAUUACUGGGCGUAAAGGGCUCGUAGGCGGCCAACUAAGUCAUACGUGAAAUCCCUCAGCUUAACUGGGGAACUGCGUGUGAUACUGGAUGGCUUGGAUUUGGGAGAGGGAUGCGGAAUUCCAGGUGUAGCGGUGAAAUGCGUAGAUAUUGGGAGGAACACCGGUGGCGAAGGCGGCUUCUUGGGCCUUUACUGACGCUGAGGCGCGAAAGCCAGGGGAGCGAACGGG